AGUUUUCUAUAUACGUGCUGAGAUCUCGUCACACAUCAGAUCACAAGGGCUGAUGAGACUCCCAAGAUAAAUAAAGUG
rfam:Schistosoma mansoni, Puerto Rico, WGS project CABG01000000 data, contig: 0184